GUAUCCUGGCUCAGGAUGAACGCUAGCUACAGGCUUAACACAUGCAAGUCGAGGGGGCAGCAUGACCUAGCAAUAGGUUGAUGGCGACCGGCGCACGGGUGAGUAACACGUAUCCAACCUACCGGUUAUUCCGGGAUAGCCUUUCGAAAGAAAGAUUAAUACCGGAUAGUAUAACGAGAAGGCAUCUUUUUGUUAUUAAAGAAUUUCGAUAACCGAUGGGGAUGCGUUCCAUUAGUUUGUUGGCGGGGUAACGGCCCACCAAGACA
rnacentral:rRNA from 1 species